GCCGUGGCUCAGUUACAGAGCAUCUGUAUGGCAUGCAGAGGAUCUCAGGUUCAAUUCCUGACAUCUCCA
rnacentral:tRNA from 1 species